UGGCUCAGGACGAACGCUGGCGGCGUGCUUAACACAUGCAAGUCGAACGGUGAACCUGCUUCGGUGGGGGAUCAGUGGCGAACGGGUGAGUAACACGUGGGCAACCUGCCCUCAGCUCUGGGAUAACUCCAAGAAAUUGGGGCUAAUACCGGAUAUGACUGCUGACCGCAUGGUCUGGUGGUGGAAAGAUUUAUCGGCUGGGGAUGGGCCCGCGGCCUAUCAGCUUGUUGGUGGGGUAGUGGCCUACCAAGGCGACGACGGGUAGCCGGCCUGAGAGGGUGACCGGCCACACUGGGACUGAGACACGGCCCAGACUCCUACGGGAGGCAGCAGUGGGGAAUAUUGCGCAAUGGGCGAAAGCCUGACGCAGCGACGCCGCGUGGGGGAUGACGGCCUUCGGGUUGUAAACCUCUUUCAGCAGGGACGAAGCGAAAGUGACGGUACCUGCAGAAGAAG
rnacentral:rRNA from 1 species